UGGUCCACUACAUCUUUGUCUCAGAGUUGAUUUUAAUGGACUGUGGUUUAAAGAUGUCCCGACAGAAGCAUAUCUAAUGCGUCUUAAACUCCCAAAAAUGCAGGGCCGGGCCAUAUAUGAAUAGUGGGAAGAAGUCCAGCUUUAUUUACAGUCUGUGUUUUAAUCACGUAGGAGAAGCUACUGUUGGCUUCAGACACAUGGUUCCUGCUUUCUACAUAUUUUUAUGAAUAUUAUAUUCCCUCUCUGCAGCUGGAGCCACUCUGGAAUUUUAAAUUCAAAACUAUUUAAUCAUAGAAGAAGAAGAACAAAAAUGAAAGUAACUUUAAUAUCCAUGUUUUGCUGUUUGAUAGUCUUCUGCACUCACUGCUGCAGUGGUUUGAUAUCCAGCUCAAAUUUUUUGACAGAGAACCAAACACAGCUGUCGAAGAUUCAGCUCCAGCAUUAAUUAAAACACUCAGACUGCAGUUAAUCUUGUUUUUAAAUGGCUGUAAUUAAACAGUCAUCAUGACAUUUUAUCGCUUUACUCACAGUUUUCCGCCGCACUCCCGCUUUAAAUGGCCUGUGUGUUUGUGUGUGUGUGUUUUGAUUAUAACGAUUUUGAUAUUUCAUACCUCUGGAGAGUCAACUUCGGUGGGUUCCCCGCGGUGCCUUCUGCUUCUCAGAUCUCACACUCCAUGUGGGAGACGACAGAGCCGUCACAUAUUAUAUUUGUAAUUAUCAGUAGGAGGUUAAUGGGAACGUUUUUCGCAGUCUGCGGAUUGUGUUUGCAGAAAAUUUGAUCUGACAUCAAGGCAGCAUCAGCGUAUCUGAGCCGUCUGGUUGCCAGUUAGCCCACGUGGGUUAAAGUAGCAUAUCUAAUACCAGAAAUUACACAGGCCUCAAGCAAAGCAUGGUGAAGAAAUGGGACACAAGCAGUGUCUGCAUUUAAACAUAGAAACUACUUAACCUUUCACUCAACUUAUUAAUGUUUGCUAAUAGCAAGCCGCGUAGUAAAUAAUUGUAUUUUGAGAAUCAGGGGGUCAGUUUUCCCUCAAUUAGAAUGAAUAUAUGACGAUUGAUGGAGUGUGAUCAUAUGUAGAAAUAUUCUGCAUUCAUUUUCAAGGCUUUAUUCACAUCCAUUGCUGCAGGUGAACUCUACUAUGAUCCUGUUCAUUGAAAAAUACCAGUUUCAAAUGAGAUUUACAUGAUUUUUAUUUCAAAUUUAGGCCUUUUCCCUCGUUUUUCACCAUUUAAGGUUUAUCACUGGACUUGGACUGCUGAACAUUUUGAUAAACACUUGAAAAAUGUUGUAAAACUUUUGAUUGAUAGAGCACAUGACACUUACCUAGUGGCCAUAAAGCUUCAUGAAUAUGAGGCUAGUUGCCAUGGUUCCUCCAGGCGCUGAAGUAACUCGGUGCACAAGGCUGCCAUCUGCUGGUGGAGAUACACACAUCACCUUAGUGCUGAGGCUGUCCUUUCUUUUGUGUGUGUGUGUGUGUGUGUGUGUGUGUGUGUGUGUGUGUGUGUGUGUGUGUGUGUGUGUGUGUGUGUGUGUGUGUGUGUGUGUGUGUGUGUGUGUGUGUGUGUGUGUGUGUGUGUGUGUGUGUGUGUUCUGGUAAUCAUCACGCGAUGGGGACCGUUGACUGUUUACACAGUCACGUCAUGGGGACCGGUUGCGCUUUGGGGACCAAAAUCCCGGUCCCCAUGAGGAUAACCCUUUUAAAUGACUACUAGAGCUACACUGAAGGUGCCCGUGAAGUUUUAAGCAUUGGCCCAUACGACAUGUUUUUUGGUGAGUGUGAGUGUGUGAGCAUUGCUCAUUGGUGGCCCUACUGUUUCUAGUUAGUACUGCACCCACUGCUUCACACACACACAUCUUCCAAAUAUGGUUGGGUGCCACCCACUUCCUUGUCCCCAUUAGGAAUGAUUCAAGCAGCGAGGACAUUUUCAGCAUCAAGAGGUAGCUAUCAACAGUAAAAGAAGAUUAUUUGCUGGAGAAACUAGCUAAGAAGAUAAGAACAUGUGCAGAGGAGCAAAAGUAAAGCAUAAGAAAUGCCACCACGGAUCAGCAAUUCAACAUGAUACACAUCUGCAAAUUAGAGGUCCAGUAUAUUUAUGCAGCAAAAGUAUUGAUGCCUUCAGAGAAGAUGGCUCAAUUGGGUGACAAGUUAAUGAGGAACACAGACGUCCUUACUCCAAAAUGAAAAAAAUUGGUGUUAAUGGAGAACCCCACCUUUGUUUAUUUGCCCUGGAUGACAUCAAAGAAGGAGAAGAAAUCGCCUAUAACUAUGGAGGUGAAGACUGCCCAUGGCAAACACAGACGACCAGCAUCACUGUUAACACCAUGGAGGAGGAUGAUUCAGAUCCUGUCCACUCAGAGAGUCUGAUGGCUUGUGCCUUUGGGCCAAAGACCACACCUGAAGAGGUACAACUGCACAAAAGAAGAAAACACCCUGGAAGGAGACAGACGUGAAGGCAGUGGAAAGGCACAUGAAUCGAUUCAUCACAUCUUGUAUUGCUCCAGCAAAGUUUGACUGUGAGAAGUGUUUAAGGGCUGAUCCAGAAGCUCUUAAGGACCGGAGCUGGCAGAAUGUGAAAUUCUACAUAUAUAACCGCAUUACAGCCAACAAGAGGAAAUUAAGUAAAUAAUGGGAAGAUUACCACCAGUAAGCGGUUGCUAUGUGGUGGUCUGAAAUUAAAAAUAUCUUACAAAUUUGACUGAAUAAGAAUUAUUCUUUGUAGGGAUAUAGAUAGCCCGUCACUGUUUGAUAAGUUUAUAUUCACUUCAACCACAUUACACUAAUAGUCCUAUCAAAUUCUGCUUCAUUGUAAGGCGGAGUUCAUGAACAGCAAGAUUUUCUGUACAAAGUAAUGCUUUGCAUCCCUAUCACCAUUUACAGGUAUCAUGUUAUAUCUCUACAUUUUCUAUCAACAACUUUUGUUCUUUUUGGCUAGACUUUAUUAGUUUUAAACAAACAGCUCUAACAAAUGUAAUAAUGGAAGACUUACGGUAUCAGUAAUAAUGUAUAUAAAAAUGCUUUUUGAAGCAUGGUCCCCAUUAGUCUUAUAACAAGUUGUGUGAGUCAUGCAAAUGAUAUGUAAAUGAGGUCCCCAUCAGCCAUACC